rnacentral:rRNA from 1 species
CACCGCGGUUAUACGAGAGACCCAAGUCGACAGAUAACGGCGUAAAGAGUGGUUACGGACCUACACUCCACUAAAGUAAACACCUCCUAAACAGUUAUACGCAUUUCGAGGCAAGAGGCCCCACCACGAAAGUGACUUUAAUAAAACUCCCGAGCCCACCACAGCUACGAAA